CGAACUGAUGCCCGCUGGAUUGGGCAGAUAGCUGUUAACUAUUUUUUGUGGGAUCAAGGCCCAUCGGUUCCG
rnacentral:tRNA from 1 species